GGAGAGGUGUCCGAGUGGUUGAAGGAGCACGCUUGGAAAGCGUGUAUGCGGCUUACGCCGUAUCUGGGGUUCAAAUCCCCAUCUCUCCGCCA
rnacentral:tRNA from 1 species